rnacentral:lncRNA from 1 species
AGCACAGACUCCUCCCCAGGAAGGGAAGAGCUGGAUGAUGCAGGAGAGACAUUCCAACAGGACACAGCUGGAACACAGGACACGCACAGAGGAGGAACCUUCACGAAAUGGAAGGAGAAAGAACUCCAACUGUGCGAUCCUGCCUGGAUUCCUUCCCCCCAGAGUUAUCUUCCUCACCAUAAAUGGAGGGGGUGUAGGGUGACCGAGGUGAGGACUGAGACGCUGCACCAGCCACCCUCCACGAUCCCGGCCAGCUGCAGCUUUCUGUAAUCUCAGGAUUCUGACAGGUACGUACACGUCCCUUGAGUCGCAAAUCCUGAAAUUCUGUUUCGUCGUUUGCUGGCUGAAGAAAGGUUUCAAAAAGCUGCCAUAUGUGAUGAACCCAACACAAGCUUUUAUAAUUAAAAGGUGGGGUGGAGCUGCAGUUGACCAAGAUGCCAAACAAAAUCAUUUAUUAAAGAAAUGGGCCCCAUUCAAAGACAUCAAUCAUGCUUCCUGCUAAUAUAUUUCCUGCUGUACUUUCCCUCCAAGCUUUGUUGCUCAUUUUUCUCACCAUCCAUAAAUAAGAGUUAUUUGUUACAUAUGUAACAACUUAAGUGUUUUCCUUCUAAACUGUGGUGCUCUAUAGUUAGGGGCACAUAUUCUUUGCACCUGUUCUGAUUGUCAUUGGUGUUAUUAAAGAAAAAGCCUUUCCAGUUGGGUUUAUUCAGAGAGAGUUAACAUCUGAUUUUACAUGGAACUAUUUAAAAGUAAAAGAGCAACAUGGCCCAAAGCGCUUCUAGCAUAGGGUGUGGAAGUAUUUGAUGUCCUGGUGCUUGUUCAUAAAAGAAUGUUGAAAUGUUGAAAUGUUUUGAAAUGUGCAGUGAAGUCGGGGAACAGAGAUCCAAAGAAAGUUCUCAUUGAGACAAAAUCGAAUCAACCAUCUUUCCAAAAGACAUCCCUCUCAGAACACUGGGUCCCUUGGCUCGGUGCCCACCAUCUGGGCUCAGGGAGGCCCCAGCCUUGCUGCCUCUCAUGAUGUGUGAAUGUGGGCUUGCUCCCAGUCAGGGCACUUGUAAAGGUCAUUCGUGUACCAGGACCCAUGGUAGCCAGGCCAAUCUGGUGGGCUAGAACACAGCUCAAUGUCAAGGAAACCAACCCCAAUCCUCCAAUUCUGCUGGCUUUUUUUCUCUUUUGGCUAUGCCAGGUCUUUCAGGAUGCAGGAUUUUGAGUUAAAGCACGUGAACCCUUAGUUGCGUGAUGUGGGAUCUUGCUCCCUGACCCGGGAUUGAACCUGGGCCCCCUGAACUGGGAGCAUGGAGUCUUAGCUACUGGACCAGCGAAGUCCCUCCAACUCAGCUUUUACCCAGCUCACCUUCUCCUACAAAACAGGACCCACCUGCCUUCUAAGGGAAGUCCCAGCGUCCUAGCCAACCAUGCCCUUUUCUGCAUUGCCUUUUCUAACAUCUAUAAAACUCCCUGUUGCCCAAAAUCCCUUGGGAGAAUGCCCCACUGCUUGUGAGGCACUGUACUCCCCCAGUCCAUGGAUUAUUUUCCUUUAAAUAAAGCACAUCAAACCUGGUACUGAAUUGUUUAAUUUUUGUCAUUUGACAGCACUAACCAGCCAGAGGAGAGACAGCUGUCAAUAGUGAACCGGUCUCAGACGGUACUCUGCAAGAGUGUAUCAUCCAUGCAGCAGCCCUUCCCCAUGAACCCACAGGUUCAUGAAUUUCUCUUUUCUUUAAGGCCA